AUGUGGGUGUUUCCUGGGCACCAGGGACUCUCUCCUCCGAGACACCUCCUGUCAGGCGGAGGGCGGAGGGCGGAGGGCGGAGGUGUGCCUUCCGGAUUUGGAGGUGGGUUGGCCGCCUGGUUGGGUGGCAGUGGGUUUGGAAGGCUUGAAACAGGUCCUGGGCUUUGGCGUGCUUGGGGUUCCUUCGAGGCAGGUGCCCAGUCACACACAGCCUCAGGAUUGGGCCGCCAGCUGGCCCUGGUCAAGCCCUCCGCAUCAGGGCUUCAGGUAGGUGAGAAGGAGUGUGGUGCUGAGGAAUCCAUGGGGGGCUUCGGGGGCAAGAGUGUUGGUAGCUGGGCUCAUCCGCCUGUUUCCCUCCCUCUCUCUCUCUCUCUCUCUCUCUCUCUCUCUCUCUCUCUCUCACACACACACACACACACACACACACACACACACACACUGAGGAGGCUGAGGGAAAUGUCCUUGUGUCGUUUUGAGAAGAGCCUCUCUUGGCAGCAGGGUGCCAGGCUAUGGAGGCCUGAUUGAAACCAGGUCUGAUGCGUUAAGGACUCUUGAUUGGUCUCCUCCAGCAAGCUCUCAGGGGAGUUCCCACGUGGCUGCCAAGCUUCAGAGGCUCUCCUGGUCCCUGCUGUGGCUGGCUGGGGCAAGAGCUGCACUGGGCGAUCCCCCUCUGGCUAGACCACAUCUCCGUGUGGCACGGGGCACCCAAAUCCAUGGACAAGGAAUAAGAGGCAUUGAAAUGAAUGAGCUGAAUGGAUCCAGAAAGGAGUGAAGGUCCAUCUCUCGUUCUCUCCCUCGUUCUCUCAUUCUCCGUCCCUCUCUCUCUCUCUCUCUCUCUCUCUCUCUCUCUCUCUCUCUCCCAAACACACCCACACGCAUACGCAUGCAGAUAGAGUAGGAAACAAUAGCUAGGACGGGGAUUGACAAAUCCAUCCUACGUCUCUCGUGAGCCAAUAGCUUGGGUGGGAGUGGGUUGGAAGUGCCAGCCUGGGGAUGGCCAGCCUGGGAGUGGAUGCUUUUGCCGAGCAGAGUGGAUCUGCAUGCCGCACACGGGUGCAGGAGAACACCUGGGCAAGUCAAUCCACUCCAGACGAAGCAUGUCUUUAUCCUCAUCACUUCCUCCUCGCCAGGGAAUUCGGUUGGGUCCGAUGGGCUAGGCUCGGCAAUCUGGACGGGAUGCACGGAGUCCUUCGGCCCGUCUCUUUUCCCGAGGGGCAGCACUCCCGAGCGGGACACCUUCUGUGGGGAGCGCUGAGACGCUCCUGUGUUGGGGUGGAAUGGUCAGGACUCCUUUUGGCUGGUCGCUGAGCGAAGUGGAUCCAUUGCAGUUUCCCAACAAAGGGAUCCCAUCGGCCAUGGCUAUCCAUCCUGUUUGGCUCCCCUUCGCCUCCCUUGGGUUCCAAGAAGAGGGACUAGACCUCGUAGCAUCUGCUCCAUGGAAGGAGGGCUGUGGCACCCCCGUCCAGGGCAAGGGUUUGGAUCUCGGACCUCCCCAAUGCCAGGCAUUCCCACAGCCUCACCCUCCCAUUUGGCAAGCACCAUCUGGAUGGCAGUCCAGGGCUUGCUUUCCUGGAAGACCGUUCCUGGGUGUCCCUGGUGAGAUGGGAGAGGGCAGGGGCUUCCCAUGGGCUGUGUGUCUCCCUCCCAGACCUCUUUCAUUUCGUGUGAGCAUUUCUCUCCGCAACACUGUGGCUGCCCAUGGCACCGUUUUCUGCGCAGGUUGAUCGCUGAGUCCGCUUGUGUUGGGGCGAAGGACAGCUGCUUGCUCAGCCAAGCAUCUGUCCAUGGACAUCGAAUGUCUUUCCAUGUGUUGCUCUCGGGAAGAGGGCUGCCUGAACGGAGUGGGGCGUUUCGCGCUGCGAAGAGCCCCUUUGUCUGGGUCUAUGGCCGUGAGGGGUAGCGCUGGGUCUGACGGUGGUUCCAGGGUUCUUUUGGGGAGGCCCUGGAUCCUGUGGUCCAUCGCGGUUGAACCAACGGACGUCCACGCCCAGCCGGUGGGAGGGCCCCUUCUUUUGCACAGCCUGCCCAGGGGUUGUCAUGGAAAGGCGUCCUCAGGAUGGCCAUGGGGACAGGGCUGAGGAGGCCUGUCGAGCUGGUUGGGGUUUGGACUUCUCUAGGCAUGCGUGAUGGUGUUCCUUUGUCUGGUGCUGGCUGCCGGCUGGCUAUGUGGAUUUGGCAGUGUUUCUUCAGGCCCCCUCCCCACCUGUGGCCUGGGCGGGUGGGUUUCUGUUCUCGUGCCUGGGUUCCGUGCUGGAGCUGAUCCGUGUGGAAGCCCAGGGUGACCUGGGUUUUGGGAUGCGCAUCCAGGGGCUGUGAGGCUUCCCCGGGUGGUGCCCAAAGGGAGAGCGAAUUGGGAGAGCAGCGGUGCCAGGUGCUGGGCCUUGUGUCUCAAGAGGGCUCAGGAACCUCCCUUUGUCUUUCCCAGGGAGGCUCGGCUCUUCUUUCUACGCACCUGGUGAGAUGAUGGGAGCUCGAGCCAGGCCGGGCCUAUGCAGGCCGCUCUCUUGACGGAUCCACCAAAGCUCUGCCUGAGCUUCCUUCCGGCCCCUGGGGAGAAGGGCUGAUUGGGUCGGUUUUGUGUGGUUGGGAGACUCUGUGCCUUGGGAAGCACCAAUGGGGAUCCAGAGCAGGCACACUCCAGGUGGGGUCAAGAACGUUUGGAAACAAAGGGAGAAAGCGAGACCUGGCCAGAUGAACCAAGCCAGAAGGAAAGAAUCGAGGCAAGACCUCAUGGCAAGGAGUGUGGAAUCCCAGGGGCAUGAUGAAGGGGGAAAACGACUCGUUCCAUCCUUCCACACCUGUCUUCCUAACUCCAUAUGGGCCAGGCUCUAUCCACCCGGUAGCAGGCUGGCACACCCUGAUGGAUUGGGAGCUCAGGAUUUCCAGGGCGAGGCAUGGCCUAGGUGGGCAUCGGCACGAAGAACGCCUUUGAGAGAGGGAGCUAGAGCCCAGGUGGA
rnacentral:lncRNA from 9 species